AAGACCAUUGUUUCUCCCACUGAAUUACCUUGCCACCCUUGUCAAAAAUCAACUGACCAUAAAAGUAAGGGUUUACUUUCUGGAUACUUAAUUCUAUUUCAUUGAGCUUUUUGUUUUUUUUGACAGAGUCUCGCUGUUGGCCAGGUUGGAGUGCAGUGGUGCGAUCUCAGCUCAGUGUAACCUCCUUCUCCCUGACUCAAGCAAUUCUCCUACCUCAGCCUCCUGAAUACCUGGGAUUACAGGCAUGU
rnacentral:lncRNA from 1 species